GCCUAUACAUGCAAGUCGAACGGUAACAGUACUAGCAAUAGUAGCUGACGAGUGGCGCACGGGUGCGUAACGCGUAUGCAACCUACCCAUAAUUGGAACAUAACGUUGAGAAAUUAACGCUAAUAUUUCAUGUGAAUAUGAAGAGGCAUCUUUUUAUAUUUAAAGAUUCAUUGAUUAUGGAUGGGCAUGCGUAUCAUUAGCUAGUUGGUGAGGUAACGGCUCACCAAGGCAACGAUGAUUAGGGGUUCUGAGAGGAUAUCCCCCCACACUGGAACUGAGACACGGUCCAGACUCCUACGGGAGGCAGCAGUAGGGAAUAUUGGGCAAUGGAAGCAAUUCUGACCCAGCCAUGCCGCGUGAAGGAAUACAGCCCUAUGGGUUUUAAACUUCUUUUAUUAUAGAUUAACCGGAGGUACGUGUACCUCCCUGCAAGUAUACGAUGAAUAAGGAUCGGCUAACUCCGUGCCAGCAGCCGCGGUAAUACGGAGGAUCCAAGCGUUAUCCGGAUUUAUUGGGUUUAAAGGGUGCGCAGGCGGAUCGAUAAGUCAGGGGUGAAAAAUUUCAGCUUAACUGGAAUCGUGCCUUUGAUACUGUUGGACUAGAGUAUAAUUGACGUGACUGGAAUGUGAUGUGUAGCGGUGAAAUGCUUAGAUAUGUCACAGAACGCCAAUCGUGAAGACAGGUCACGAAAUUAUUACUGACGCUCAUGCACGAAAGCGUGGGGAUCAAACAGGAUUAGAUACCCUGGUAGUCCACGCUGUAAACGAUGAUUACUCGUUGUUGGGCAGUGAUGCUCAGUGGCUAAGCGAAAGCGAUAAGUAAUCCACCUGGGGAGUACGAUCGCAAGGUUGAAACUCAAAGGAAUUGACGGGGGCCCGCACAAGCGGAGGAGCAUGUGGUUUAAUUCGAUGAUACGCGAGGAACCUUACCCGGGCUU
rnacentral:rRNA from 1 species